rnacentral:ncRNA from 24 species
AUAAGGCGGCAGGGGAGCUUAAUGAGUUAGGCUGAGAAAAAACCACGAAAAUGUUUUAUACCCUUAAACAGAGAGAUCUGUUUGCACCUGAUCCAGAUAAUGCUGGCGUAGGAAAUGUAUAAGCAAAAAU